rnacentral:rRNA from 1 species
UACAGAGGUCCCAAGCGUUGUUCGGAUUCACUGGGCGUAAAGGGUGCGCAGGUGGUCGGGUAAGUCUGAUGUGAAAUCCCGCAGCUUAACUGCGGAACGGCAUUGGAUACUACUCGGCUAGAGGGUUGGAGGGGGGACUGGAAUUCUCGGUGUAGCAGUGAAAUGCGUAGAUAUCGAGAGGAACACCAGUGGCGAAGGCGAGUCCCUGGACAACUCCUGACACUGAGGCACGAAAGCUAGGGGAG